GAGGCUCGUUAGCCGUGGUAGGCAAUUCACCUAGGAGAGCAAACUCCGAACAACAAACCCGGGCAGGUGGAGCUCGUCAGCCGUGGUAGGCAAUACACCUAGGAGAGCAAACUCCGAACAACAAACCCGGGCAGGUGGAGCUCGUCAGCCGUGGUAGGCAAUCUGCCUAGGAGAGCAAACUCCGAACAAUAAACCCGGGCAGGUGGAGCUCGUCAGCCGUGGUAGGCAAUCUGCCUAGGAGAGCAAACUCCGAACAAUAAACCCGGGCAGGUGGAGCUCGUCAGCCGUGGUAGGCAAUCUGCCUAGGAGAGCAAACUCCGAACAAUAAACCCGGGCAGGUGGAGGUCGUCAGCCGUGGUAGGCAAUUCACCUAGGAGAGCAAACUCCGAACAAUAAACCCGGGCAGGUGGAGGUCGUCAGCCGUGGUAGGCAGUCUGCCUAGGAGAGCAAACUCUAAAUAAACCCGGGCUUGUGGUGCUCGUUAUACUGUCGUAGACAAUCCACGCGAUGGGAACACCAAAGAAAAGGAAAAUAAAAAGGAACACCAGAAAAAUGGAAAAUACAGAAACGAAACAUCAAGAAAAGAAAUAAAAAGAUCAUCCACCUUUAGGCCCUAACAUCGCCAAAAUUAUGGGUGGGUCUCUUCUGGGGAGAAAGCGGCUCACCCAGACCAAAGAACAUCAACAAAAGGAUGAUAUGAAUAAAUGAACAUAAAAAAAACAAAGAAAAA